rnacentral:rRNA from 1 species
CAUCUAGGCCAGCUGAGGCAGCGGAUCGUAAACUCUGUUGUUAGAGAAGAACAAGACGUUAGUAACUGAACGUCCCCUGACGGUAUCUACCCAGAAAGGCCACGGCUAACUACGUGCCAGCAGCCGCGGUAAUACGUAGGUGGCAAGCGUGUCCGGGAUUUAUUGGGCGUAAAGCGAGCGCAGGCGGUUUCUUAAGUCUGAUGUGAAAGCCCCCGGCUCAACCGGGGAGGGUCAUUGGAAACUGGGAGACUUGAGUGCAGAAGAGGGAGAGUGGAAUUCCAUGUGUAGCGGUGAAAUGCGUAGAUAUAUGGAGGAACACCAGUGGCGAAGGCGGCUCUCUGGUCUGUAACUGACGCUGAGGCUCGAAAGCGUGGGGAGCAAACAGGAUUAGAUACCCUGGUAGUCCACGCCGUAAACGAUGAGUGCUAAGUGUUGGAGGGUUUCCGCCCUUCAGUGCUGCAGCAAACGCAUUAAGCACUCCGCCUGGGGAGUACGACCGCAAGGUUGAAACUCAAAGGAAUUGACGGGGGCCCGCACAAGCGGUGGAGCAUGUGGUUUAUUCGAAGCAACGCGAAGAACCUUACCAGGUCUUGACAUCCUUUGACCACUCUAGAGAUAGAGCUUUCCCUUCGGGGACAAAGUGACAGGUGGUGCAUGGUUGUCGUCAGCUCGUGUCCGUGAGAUGGUUAAGUUCCCGCAUACGAGCGCAACCCUUAUUGUUACUGCCAUCAUUUAGUUGGGCACUCUAGCGAGACUGCCGGUGACAAACCGGAGGAAGGUGGGGAUGACGUCAAAUCAUCAUGCCCCUUAUGACCUGGGCUACACACGUGCUACAAUGGGAAGUACAACGAGUCGCUAGACCGCGAGGUCAUGCAAAUCUCUUAAAGCUUCUCUCAGUUCGGAUUGCAGGCUGCAACUCGCCUGCAUGAAGCCGGAAUCGCUAGUAAUCGCGGAUCAGCACGCCGCGGUGAAUACGUUCCCGGGCCUUGUACACACCGCCCGUCACACCACGAGAGUUUGUAACACCCGAAGUCGGUGAGGUAACCUUUUUGGAGCCAGCCGCCUAAAGUGUAAGGAAAUUGGG